UAUAAUUUAAUUUAAUUUAAUUUAAUUUAAUUUGAUAUAAUGUGUUGUGCAUUAAGCAGCUGUCUGUGAUGUAGAGCAAGAGGGAAAUAAGUAUUAUUGAUCAUGUUGAAGUCAUAAGUACCAGUGAGCACUGCAGUUAUUGACUCUCUCACACUGGAUCCAGUAACGGCCGGUCGAUACAGGCUAACACACUUACGGUACGACAUACGGAACUGCCUAGAAGUGAUCCGGUCAAGCUCCGGCCCAAACCAAUCCAAACACAGACUGGAGAAACAUAGAGAGAGGGAGAGAAUGAAGUAACCGAGAAGGAGAAACAAAUGAGACAGGACCAGGACAGAGGAUGAAAAGAGGACCAAAAGAGUGAGACAGUACAGGGAAUUUAAAAAUACAGAAAGAGUGAGACAGGAUAAAGAAAGAAGUUACUGAAGGGGGAAAAAGAGAGAGUGAGACAGAAGAGUCAGACAGGACAGAGAAUAAAACAAUACAGAGAGUAAGACAGGAACUGGUAGGACCAGUAAGAUAGGAAUAAAAAGAGUGAGACGGGACAGAGAAAAAAGUACAAGAGAAAAAAAAAACAGAAAGAGUGACAGAGAAUUAAAAGAGUGAGACAGGACAGAGGAUGAAACAACACAGAGAGUGAGACAGGACGAGGAAUGAAACAAUACAGAGAGUGAGACAGGAUCUGAAGAGUGCGACAAUACAGAGAGUGAGACAGGAUCUAAAGAGUGAGACAAUACAGAGAGUGAGACAGGUUCUAACAGGAUCUAAAGUGUGAGACAAUACAGAGAGUGAGACAGGAUCUAAAGAGUGAGACAGCACAGAGAGUGAGACAAUACAGAGAGUGAGACAGGAUCUAAAGAGUGAGACAGCACAGAGAGUGAGACAGGAUCUAAAGAGUGAGACAGCACAGAGAGUGAGACAAUACAGAGAGUGAGACAGGAUCUAAAGAGUGAGACAGCACAGAGAGUGAGACAAUACAGAAGGUGAGACAGGACCUAAAGAGUGAGACAGCACAGAGAGUGAGACAAUACAGAGAGUGAGACAGGAUCUAAAGAGUGAGACAGCACAGAGAGUGAGACAAUACAGAGAGUGAGACAGGAUCUAAAGAGUGAGACAGCACAGAGAUUGAGACAAUACAGAAGGUGAGACAGGAUCUAAAGAGUGAGACAGCACAGAGAGUGAGACAAUACAGAGAGUGAGACAGGAUCUAAAGAGUGAGACAGCACAGAGAUUGAGACAAUACAGAAGGUGAGACAGGAUCUAAAGAGUGAGACAGCACAGAGAGUGAGACAAUACAGAGAGUGAGACAGGAUCAAAAGAGUGAGACAGGACAGAAAAAGAAGUAAUCGAGGAGAAAAAAAUACGAGUUAAUAAGAGAGACAGAACUGGAAGUAUGAGACAGGACAGAGAUUAAAAACAAUACCGAGAGUGAGACAGAACUAAAAGAGUGAGACAGAACAGAUAAUGAAACAAUACAGAGAGUGAGACAGGUCAGAUAAUGAAAUGAUACAGAGAGUGAGACAGGUCAGAGAGGAAGAAGUAAAACAGGAGAAAAUCAAUAAGAGGAAAGGAAAUGAGUGAGACAGGACAGAGAAUGAAACAAUACAGGAUCCAGUGAGACAGGACAGAGAGAG